ACCCAGCUAGCUCAGCAGGUAGAGCAUGAGACUUUUAAUCUCAGGGUCAUGGGUUUGGAUCCCACGUUGGGCA